GCCGGGCUGCCGGCCGGGGGCGCCGCUGCCGGGGACGGCCGUCCGUUUCCGGGGCGGAGCGAGGAGGGAGUCGCGCUCGAAGGACGGGCGCGGAGACCCCGACCCUCACCCGCGACUGGGACUCGGACCCGGACUCGGGCCCCCGACGCGGGGCUGGGAGUGGGACCCCAGCCCCCGCCCGCGGCCGGGCGGAGCCUCGAGGCAGAGAGGCCGGGGUCAGGCCGCGGGGCGCCCUCCGCCGUUGAAAGGGGGCCGCGGGGCGCGCGUUCCGAGCAGCGAGGGUGGCGGGCGCCCGGGCGCAGGCAGAACCCGCGUCCUACAGACGGUGAGGAAACAGACUCAAAAACAUUAAAAGUUCCCGUCCAAGGUCACAGCUGAGAAGUGAUCGCACAGAGCCGCAGAGCUGAACAAGUGUUUCCACACUUGCCCUGGCCUCGGAGGCCCUGGACGGUUGCACAGUGCAAGCACUGACUGCUACCCAAGUCACACUGCUGAGCUCCUGCUGCUGAGGCUGUCAGAGCUCCGAAUGACCUGUUCUCCAACGAGGGGAACAGGGACACGCUGCCACGGAACUGCUUCCACCAGGGUUUUGUUUCUUGCAUCAGGAGCCCUUGGUGGCCGCAGGUGACCGCACCGAAGAGAACAGGCCUCCCGGGAAAGCCUGUGCACAGCUGCCCCGUGGGGACCGAGAUGAGGAAGCUGCAGAUUGAGAGCCCACAAGGUCCUGCCAACUCUGCCUUCACAACACAUCCCGGCCCCAACUGCCUCGUGGGCCCCGACGGCACUGCAGCCUCGCACCGCCUUCUCUGUGCCCUCGUCUUCUCCGGAGCGACGCUUCAACGUACAUGUCAGUUUGGACUCACAUCUCUAGCGCUUAGCUGUCCUUUGCGGCUAGAAGCUAUCAUAUUGGACAGCGGACCUCGAAUGUUCUCCCAUCUACUCACCUCCUCCUCAGACUCUGACAGCAGUUCAAGUGUAACACCUUACGGAAAUCUUUUGCAAGCCACUCCCCGGACCAGGCCUGGUUUUCACUCCGUAUUCUUUCAUAACUCCUUGUGCGUUUCUUUCAAAGUGCUCACUGUGUGGCUGCUUGUAAACCUGUUUUCCCUGCGAGUCGACUCGCCGCGGUCCCGUGGUCCUCCCGGGGCUGGAUAGCGUCUGGCUCGUGGCAAUAACCAUUUCUGAAUAAAUGCAUGAAACGGCUUCUUUCUCUUUAC